rnacentral:rRNA from 1 species
GGUUAAGCGACUAAGCGUACACGGUGGAUGCCCUGGCAGUCAGAGGCGAUGAAGGACGUGCUAAUCUGCGAUAAGCGUCGGUAAGGUGAUAUGAACCGUUAUAACCGGCGAUUUCCGAAUGGGGAAACCCAGUGUGAUUCGUCACACUAUCAUUAACUGAAUCCAUAGGUUAAUGAGGCGAACCGGGGGAACUGAAACAUCUAAGUACCCCGAGGAAAAGAAAUCAACCGAGAUUCCCCCAGUAGCGGCGAGCGAACGGGGAGCAGCCCAGAGCCUGAAUCAGUGUGUGUGUUAGUGGAAGCGUCUGGAAAGGCGCGCGAUACAGGGUGACAGCCCCGUACACAAAAAUGCACAUGCUGUGAGCUCGAUGAGUAGGGCGGGACACGUGGUAUCCUGUCUGAAUAUGGGGGGACCAUCCUCCAAGGCUAAAUACUCCUGACUGACCGAUAGUGAACCAGUACCGUGAGGGAAAGGCGAAAAGAACCCCGGCGAGGGGAGUGAAAAAGAACCUGAAACCGUGUACGUACAAGCAGUGGGAGCACGCUUAGGCGUGUGACUGCGUACCUUUUGUAUAAUGGGUCAGCGACUUAUAUUCUGUAGCAAGGUUAACCGAAUAGGGGAGCCGAAGGGAAACCGAGUCUUAACUGGGCGUUAAGUUGCAGGGUAUAGACCCGAAACCCGGUGAUCUAGCCAUGGGCAGGUUGAAGGUUGGGUAACACUAACUGGAGGACCGAACCGACUAAUGUUGAAAAAUUAGCGGAUGACUUGUGGCUGGGGGUGAAAGGCCAAUCAAACCGGGAGAUAGCUGGUUCUCCCCGAAAGCUAUUUAGGUAGCGCCUCGUGAAUUCAUCUCCGGGGGUAGAGCACUGUUUCGGCAAGGGGGUCAUCCCGACUUACCAACCCGAUGCAAACUGCGAAUACCGGAGAAUGUUAUCACGGGAGACACACGGCGGGUGCUAACGUCCGUCGUGAAGAGGGAAACAACCCAGACCGCCAGCUAAGGUCCCAAAGUCAUGGUUAAGUGGGAAACGAUGUGGGAAGGCCCAGACAGCCAGGAUGUUGGCUUAGAAGCAGCCAUCAUUUAAAGAAAGCGUAAUAGCUCACUGGUCGAGUCGGCCUGCGCGGAAGAUGUAACGGGGCUAAACCAUGCACCGAAGCUGCGGCAGCGACGCUUAUGCGUUGUUGGGUAGGGGAGCGUUCUGUAAGCCUGUGAAGGUGUACUGUGAGGUAUGCUGGAGGUAUCAGAAGUGCGAAUGCUGACAUAAGUAACGAUAAAGCGGGUGAAAAGCCCGCUCGCCGGAAGACCAAGGGUUCCUGUCCAACGUUAAUCGGGGCAGGGUGAGUCGACCCCUAAGGCGAGGCCGAAAGGCGUAGUCGAUGGGAAACAGGUUAAUAUUCCUGUACUUGGUGUUACUGCGAAGGGGGGACGGAGAAGGCUAUGUUGGCCGGGCGACGGUUGUCCCGGUUUAAGCGUGUAGGCUGGUUUUCCAGGCAAAUCCGGAAAAUCAAGGCUGAGGCGUGAUGACGAGGCACUACGGUGCUGAAGCAACAAAUGCCCUGCUUCCAGGAAAAGCCUCUAAGCAUCAGGUAACAUCAAAUCGUACCCCAAACCGACACAGGUGGUCAGGUAGAGAAUACCAAGGCGCUUGAGAGAACUCGGGUGAAGGAACUAGGCAAAAUGGUGCCGUAACUUCGGGAGAAGGCACGCUGAUAUGUAGGUGAAGUCCCUCGCGGAUGGAGCUGAAAUCAGUCGAAGAUACCAGCUGGCUGCAACUGUUUAUUAAAAACACAGCACUGUGCAAACACGAAAGUGGACGUAUACGGUGUGACGCCUGCCCGGUGCCGGAAGGUUAAUUGAUGGGGUUAGCGCAAGCGAAGCUCUUGAUCGAAGCCCCGGUAAACGGCGGCCGUAACUAUAACGGUCCUAAGGUAGCGAAAUUCCUUGUCGGGUAAGUUCCGACCUGCACGAAUGGCGUAAUGAUGGCCAGGCUGUCUCCACCCGAGACUCAGUGAAAUUGAACUCGCUGUGAAGAUGCAGUGUACCCGCGGCAAGACGGAAAGACCCCGUGAACCUUUACUAUAGCUUGACACUGAACAUUGAGCCUUGAUGUGUAGGAUAGGUGGGAGGCUUUGAAGUGUGGACGCCAGUCUGCAUGGAGCCGACCUUGAAAUACCACCCUUUAAUGUUUGAUGUUCUAACGUGGACCCGUAAUCCGGGUUGCGGACAGUGUCUGGUGGGUAGUUUGACUGGGGCGGUCUCCUCCUAAAGAGUAACGGAGGAGCACGAAGGUUGGCUAAUCCUGGUCGGACAUCAGGAGGUUAGUGCAAUGGCAUAAGCCAGCUUGACUGCGAGCGUGACGGCGCGAGCAGGUGCGAAAGCAGGUCAUAGUGAUCCGGUGGUUCUGAAUGGAAGGGCCAUCGCUCAACGGAUAAAAGGUACUCCGGGGAUAACAGGCUGAUACCGCCCAAGAGUUCAUAUCGACGGCGGUGUUUGGCACCUCGAUGUCGGCUCAUCACAUCCUGGGGCUGAAGUAGGUCCCAAGGGUAUGGCUGUUCGCCAUUUAAAGUGGUACGCGAGCUGGGUUUAGAACGUCGUGAGACAGUUCGGUCCCUAUCUGCCGUGGGCGCUGGAGAACUGAGGGGGGCUGCUCCUAGUACGAGAGGACCGGAGUGGACGCAUCACUGGUGUUCGGGUUGUCAUGCCAAUGGCACUGCCCGGUAGCUAAAUGCGGAAGAGAUAAGUGCUGAAAGCAUCUAAGCACGAAACUUGCCCCGAGAUGAGUUCUCCCUGACCCUUUAAGGGUCCUGAAGGAACGUUGAAGACGACGACGUUGAUAGGCCGGGUGUGUAAGCGCAGCGAUGCGUUGAGCUAACCGGUACUAAUGAACCGUGAGGCUUAACCUU